CAUUGCUGCUAUCAGCCUGGCCAUCAACUACCCAAACAAGGCCACCCGCCUCUGGAAUGUUGAGUGUUAGCCUCGGUAUGAUAUGCAUGGACUUGAUAAUUUGUCUACAGGGGUUUAUAGCAGACCUCCAACCUUGCUCAGGAAACCCCUGCGGCCUCUGCACCCAGCUCUCUUUGAGCCUACCCCCUGCUCCCAUCUGGAUGCCAAGCAGCCGCCUGUCAACAAGGCCCACUGUGCAGGCACCACAUGUCCAAGAAGGCACAGCAGUGCAAAGUGGCUCAGAAAGAGGCCUUGGGAAAGUUCCUCAGAGAGCAGAGAGUAGAGACCAGUCUCCUCCAGGGCGUCAUAGCACUGAAGGCUUGGAAGCAGUCUCUGAAAGGAUUCUGUCUCCACUGAGCGGGAGCUGCCUA
rnacentral:lncRNA from 1 species